UAAAGGAAAGGACAAUGCAAAAAUGAAAUACUAUUCAAUCAAUUAAAGGUCUGUAGGGAAAACACUGGACUUUUGGAAAGAGAGAAAACCUAGGAAACUGAAGUGUAUGUCACAGGAAUGGACCAGGGAAUAGAAUUAUUAUCCAGAAUAAACUCCUCCUCCCCAUGUUCCUAGAUCUUUUCCACCCAUGGCAAGUGCCUGAAUAACUUUCUCCAUUCAGAGCAUGAAACCACUAAUGAAGCAAGAAGAAGUCUCUAGCUUUAGAGUGAUGGAGUAUGUAAAGUUUUCCCCUGUGUCACAGGAGACACUCCUGGAAAAGGCACUCUCAAAACUGGCCAAUGUAAGGAAAGCUUUUAAGCAAGUAGGCCAAGGCAGUUCUCAGAGACAUCAUCAUUAGGCCUUCCUGAAAAAUCUCUUUUAACCUGGAGAUCCCUAUCUUCUGUGAUGUCACAAGUGUUGUCCUGACAGCAACUGCCUCUCAGGUAUUCCUUCAGAACCUCUAGGGUUUAUUACUUGGUCUCUACUUCAGAGUAAACAUCAAUUUGGGAGGGUGAACAAAGAGGAUGAAGAGAUCAGAAAUGGGGAGAACGAAGGAAGCUGGCCUUCUGUCUUGGUAUAAAAAAAGGAAGAAAUACCUGGUCCUUGGUACAGCUCAGUCAAGAAUAUAUGAUCCACAAAUGACAAUGCCAAAUAGACUCCCUCCUGUUCUCAUAACAUACUGAAGUUGAGGUUUCACUGGACCUCAAGCCAUUCCUCUUGCUGCCCAUCACCCAGAAACUAAUGUUUGGCCUGAAGGAAGAAUCAUGGUAAAACAUCCAAAAUCAUCAAGUCUUUCCCUGGACAAACAGGAAGGUGCGCCGAGCUCUUGGAGAAGUUGCUGAACAUCCUAAAGACUUUUGGGCAGAUGAUGACAGAUAUCCUCCUAAUGCUUAACUGCGAUAAGCGAAGCAAGAAACACUUUGUGGUAUCUGUGUCAAGUACAUAUAAUCUCAACCUAAAAGAGGAAAACCUCUGGGCAAAUCCAAAUUCAGAGACAUUCUUGCAAGUUGUACAUAUGCUUGUUCACAUGUGCAACACAUGCAUGCCUACUGUCCAGGAGGUUGAAGAAGGUGUGAGGUUCCGUGAUGCUGAAAUUACAGCCACUUGUGAGCUGUCAACGG